UACGGAGGGUGCAAGCGUUACCCGGAAUCACUGGGCGUAAAGGGCGUGUAGGCGGACCACUCAGUCUGACUUUAAAGACCGAGGCUCAACCUCGGAAGUGGGUUGGAUACUGGUGGUCUGGACCUCUGGAGAGGAAGUCGGAAUUCCUGGUGUAGCGGUGGAAUGCGUAGAUACCAGGAGGAACACCGAUGGCGAAGGCAGACUUCUGGACAGAAGGUGACGCUGAGGCGCGAAAGUGUGGGGAGCGAACCGG
rnacentral:rRNA from 1 species